GUGUCUUACAAUAAGAAAGGAUCAUAUUCACUUACAAGCAGUUGUAGGAGAGAAGUAUGUGCUUCUUGUCUGUAGCUUCUAAUGUCCUCUCAUUGACAGCGAUAGGGUCCAAGAAGCCUAUGUGCUUAAUCCCAUUUUCUCGGCACGUAUAAGGCUCCAUCCUACAAAAGAAUGAAGUUAUAUGUAUAAGCCACUUAGCAAAGAACUCGUAUUACAUGUUAGCGACGAUACUUACAAAGUCCACAAGGCCAUGAUUGAGACGUCAAGGGCUUGUUGUUGGAAGAACUGAAAUAGUUCUUCGUAAGGAAUUAAUCCAUAUUUCACCCCUAUCACCCUUCUUGUAUAUAUCAUGCACCAAACAUGCUUGCUCUCUGU
rnacentral:lncRNA from 1 species